GGGCGUGGAGUGCCCUGACCCUGCCUCCGUAUUUACUAGGUGGGUGCUAGGGUGUGUGCUCCAAGACCGAUGGCCCCUAUGGGCGUGGAGGAGAAACCAGGGACUCAAGCGGAUCUCCCUGCCUGCCUUCUGCCCUCAUGUCCCACUCCGCCUUGGCUCCAGGCCAGGGGCUGCUGGAAUGAUGACUCAGAGCAACUGAGAAGAGGAGAGAAACAGAAUGGAGGUCCUCUUCAUCCUCAAUCUCUGCCAUCCCAGCAUCCCCAUAAAGGCCAGGACCCUUCAGGCCACAUCUCAAGACCGGCCACACUGCCCUCUCCUGCUUCCUCCUCCUCUACCCGCCCUCUUUCGUCUCUCCUCCACGAUGGCUGCCCUCAUCUGCUCAUCCUCACUUGGCCUUCAGCAGUGCUCAGCUGACAUAGAUGAGGGAAUAGGAGUGACUCGUCAUCACAGUCGCCGUGUACUCGAGACAAACGCUCAGGGGGAUGCCAGUUCCCAUAGGACUCACAGCGGGAGACACAGCGGAGCGUCCAGUGCUUCCUCGGCUAGCCGUGUCCCACGAUGGCAGGUCAUUUGCGGACACCGUCUGCACCUCCUUUAUCAGUUGUGUUACUGCUCUGGGUUGAAU
rnacentral:lncRNA from 1 species